UACGUAGGGUGCAAGCGUUGUCCGGAAUUAUUGGGCGUAAAGAGCGUGUAGGCGGCCAGGUAGGUCUGCUGUGAAAACUUGAGGCUCAACCUCGAGAUGUCGGCGGAAACCAUCUGGCUAGAGUCCGGAAGAGGAGAGUGGAAUUCCUGGUGUAGCGGUGAAAUGCGCAGAUAUCAGGAAGAACACCCGUGGCGAAGGCGGCUCUCUGGGACGGUACUGACGCUGAGACGCGAAAGCGUGGGGAGCGAACAGG
rnacentral:rRNA from 1 species